CAAUAUUGCUGACAUAGUAGUUUAUUUUGGAAAUUUAAUUGUAGGAUGAUUUCAGGCUUUUUUUCUAGCACAGGCUUGAAGUAUUUGGUAAUUCUAUUACAGUUCAGUUAAAGCAGUGAAUAAUUACAUUUCAUUCCUUGCACAGCUGUUCUGCAGUGCGACAUCUUAUAUUAGACACUACUGCUAAGUACUGACAUCUUGGGAUGACAAAAAAUGAAAACAAUGGAUUCAAACAUCAUCAUUCUCAAAUAGAUUCUGAGCGUUCCAGCUACUACUUAUGAUCUAUUUGGACAACAGAAAGGACAAUACUACUUUAAGAACUCAGAAACUUUCUGAACAGAAGUCAUUAUAAACAAAGAAGAAAUAGUGAGAGUUUUGAUGAAAGAUGUAUCAGUCUUCUGAAAGCGCAGAGCAGUUGGAGAAGCAGGGAGUAACAGCAGGGAGAGAAGCCGUGUUUUGUCCUGUUAUUUUUACACUGCACUGUGGAUGCAUGCAUGGCACUUUCCAAAGAGGAUUGCAGAUGUUGUCUUUGGCCUAAGCUGCGUAAGACUCAAGAAGUUCAGAUGAGAUGAAGGCAAGCCAACACACAAGUGAGACUUUUUGCUUGAGGCAGAAGAAUUUGGGAGGGUUUUCUAGGAAAACGCAAAAGAAAAUUGAUUUCACCAGCGUUGAUCUUUAAGACUUUGCUGUCACGUCUGUGAAGAAUUAUUCCUACGUGCUUAAGGUGGGUAGAAGACACAGGAUUGGGAGCCAUGUUUGACAGGCAUUGACACUUUGCUAGACAGGCCUCACCAGGAGACUUCUCUUAACUGAAAACGGAGAUACUGGCCAUGCUGGGUAAGAUCCCCUACAAUCCUGUUUGUCUUGCCCAAUGUUCCGCGCAAUGGGUAAGUGCCUACUGAUCUUGAAAAAAUCUGGCUCUUCAUGCACAGAAAAUGUCAUAUGUGACUUCAGAUCUGAGGGACCUUAAGAACUUAGCUCCCUGAGGAGAUAUCUCAGUUUCUGGGAUCUGGAUCCAUCUCCUCUGACCUUAGAGCUCCUGCUUUUGCAAUCGCACAGACACCCCAGUCAACUUCCAAAAAGUUUUCCACAGGGCUUAUUAUCUUUUGAGGCUGGAGUCCCAUAGAGGUGGACCUGUUUGCAAAAGGUCUGACUCAAAUAGGUAAGACUUCCCUUUGCAAAAGCUACCUCAAACAAGCAGUAUAUAUUCUGGUGCUCAGUAAUUCUGUUCUGCAAGUUUAUCAAGUUGUAGGGCAGUGUCAACAGAAAAAAAGCAAGUGUAAUGCCUCUAAUGAAGAAGGCUCAAGAAGUGUUUCUUGCAAUUACAUGUUCAGGUAAAGAGUGGAGGAAUGGAAUCGAUAGGAUAGUUAAAGAAGUGCAAGGUCAAUUUUGCUGUACGCUCUGAACUCUCCCACUGGAAGCACUGAAGGAGAAAUACCUAUGUGCAUUAGCAGAUCACAGGAUGACCUGCGCCACCAGGAAGAUGGAGACGGGGGGAAAAAGGAAUGCAAUUUCUACAAUGUGCCAUUGAAGAG
rnacentral:lncRNA from 1 species